GUCUGUUUGUAGUUAUAAAGAGUCUGACCUGCCCACUGAUAAUAUAAAAUUUAAUGGCCGCGGUAUUAAUGACCGUGCAAAGGUAGCAUAAUCAUUAGUCUUUUAAUUAAAGGCUUGUAUGAAUGGUUGGACAAAAGAAAAGCUGUCUUCUUUAAUAUAAAUUGAAUUUAACUUUUAGGUGAAAAGGCUUAAAUAUUUCAGAGGGACGAUAAGACCCUAUAAAGCUUUAUAUAAAAUAAAUUUUAGAUUGAAGUUUUUUUAAAGAUUAAAAUUUAUACUUAUAUUUUGUUGGGGCAACAGAAGUAUAAUUAUUAAUAACUGCUUAAUUUAUAAACAGGUAUAUUUGUGUUAUUAAGUGAUCCUUAUUAGAGAUUUCAAGAUUAAGUUACUUUAGGGAUAACAGCGUAAUUUUUUUAGAGAGUUCAUAUCGAAAAAAAAGUUUACGACCUCGAUGUUGAAUUAAAAUUUCUAUAUAGUGCAGCUAUUAUAUAAGAGGGUCUGUUCGACCUUUAAUUUUUUACA
rnacentral:rRNA from 1 species